CUCUGCGUUUGCUUUAGCCGGCAGGCUAGCUUGCGCCGAUGUGGUCCUAAAGACUAAAGACACCACCCAACAUCUCCUCCUCCUACCUUCGGCAGCGACGUUUGUUGGCCGCCGGCCGGCGGACGGCGGCGGAGUGUGGAUAUGUGGAUCAGGUCCCUUCAUUCUGAAUUUCCGAUCCCCUCUACGGCAUCGCAUAAUACAGCGUAGGCAGCUAGCUAGCUAGUACAUCGAUAUAUACUCUCUCUCUCUCUCUCUCUCUGAAGCCAGAGCAAACAGUACUGGAGUAUUUAUCAACCUGCAUACCUGCAAUCAGAGAGAGAAGAGAGAAGAGAGAGCCCUGCGGCGAUGACAGAUCUCGAGUUGCUGUCCAU
rnacentral:lncRNA from 1 species